rnacentral:rRNA from 1 species
GUGAGGAAUAUUGGACAAUGGAGGAAACUCUGAUCCAGCCAUGCCGCGUGAGCGAUGAAGGCCUUAGGGUUGUAAAGCUCUUUCAGCUGGGAAGAUAAUGACUGUACCAGCAGAAGAAGCCCCGGCUAACUCCGUGCCAGCAGCCGCGGUAAUACGGAGGGGGCUAGCGUUGUUCGGAAUUACUGGGCGUAAAGCGCACGUAGGCGGACCGGAAAGUCAGAGGUGAAAUCCCAGGGCUCAACCUUGGAACUGCCUUUGAAACUCCUGGUCUUGAGGUCGAGAGAGGUGAGUGGAAUUCCGAGUGUAGAGGUGAAAUUCGUAGAUAUUCGGAGGAACACCAGUGGCGAAGGCGGCUCACUGGCUCGAUACUGACGCUGAGGUGCGAAAGCGUGGGGAGCAAACAGGAUUAGAUACCCUAGUAGUCC